GUCAUGACUGACAGCAUGACUGUGAUGGAUGUGUUCACAGUCAUGAUUACUAAUGAAAGUGAAUUUAUAACAACUAGAUCCGGGAAUCUAAAGAAGAAGAACAUAGAGAAAUUAGGUCACUGUUUUAAUUUUAGACCAGGGACACCUGUUCUUGUCACUACCAACAUGAUUGUAGUAAAGACUCAGCGGACUUUGCAAAUAAAGUUUAAGAAAGCUUAUAAAUGCAUUUGCAGCAUAUAAUAGUAUAGGCUACUAUUAGAGGACAGUCAGUCAGUUAUGAAUAAUCUUCAGAUCAAGAAUGAUGCCUCCCCUGUUCCUCCCUCUGUGAAAGACUUGGAGAGGGUUUUGUUUGGUGGAAAAAGAUUUGGCAACCAUGUGGAUGAAGUGUGGCCUAACCUCUUCAUUGGAGACAUGUCUGUUGCCAAUGAUCGGUACAGUCUGUGGAAGCUGGGAAUCACUCAUGUUCUGAACGCUGCUCAUGGGAGGAUGUACUGUCAGGGAAGUCAUGACUUCUAUGGAUCCACUGUGGAUUACUAUGGAGUGCCUGCUGAUGACUCACCAUCCUUUGACCUCUCUCGCUAUUUCUUCCCCUCUGCCGAGUAUAUUCAGAAUGCACUUGACACGCCUGGUGCUAGGAUUUUUGUCCACUGCGCAGUUGGAGUGAGCAGGUCUGCCUCCCUUGUCCUGGCCUAUCUGAUGAUCCAUCACCAUUACUCUCUGCUUGAUGCUAUCAAUAAGAUCAAGGAGCACAGGUGGAUUUUCCCAAACAGAGGAUUCCUCCGACAGCUCCGUGCUUUGGAUAUAAAACUACACAAGACACCAUGAAGAGAGGGAAAUGAACAAAGACUUGCACCCUAAGCACAGUCAUGUCAACAUAAUCUUCUGCAGCGCGCAAGGGAACAACUGAAACUACAUCGGAAACAAGUGGAAUAAUCUUGCCCCGCUGGCAGAGUGUCUUGUUAAAAUAAGACAUUUUUGCUGUGUGAGGACAGUUUGGCGUCGGGUGCA